GGGGGCCAUACUGAAGUUGAGAUGUUAACCCUGAUACAAUCUUCCUAUAUCAAUCUUGUAAUUUUCCUGCUUGUAGUUCUGAAAUAAAGUUCUACAAGUCUCAAAAUUACAGGACAUUUGA
rnacentral:snoRNA from 1 species